CAGCAGCCGCGGGAAUACGUAGGGUGCAAGCGUUGUCCGGAAUCAUUGGGCGUAAAGCGCGCGUAGGUGGCCAUUUAAGUCCGCUGUGAAAGUCAAAGGCUCAACCUUUGAAAGCCGGUGGAUACUGGAUGGCUAGAGUACGGAAGAGGCGAGUGGAAUUCCUGGUGUAGCGGUGGAAUGCACAGAUAUCAGGAGGAACACCAAUAGCGAAGGCAGCUCGCUGGGCCGACACUGACACUGAGAGACGAAAGCUAGGGGAGCAAAUGGGAUUAGAUACCCCAGUAGUCCCUGUCUCUUAUAC
rnacentral:rRNA from 1 species